GACGAACGCUGGCGGCGUGCCUAAUACAUGCAAGUCGAGCGCAGGAAAUCAUCCGAACCCUUCGGGGGGACGUUGAUGGAAUGAGCGGCGGACGGGUGAGUAACACGUAAAGAACCUGCCCUCAGGUCUGGGAUAACCACGAGAAAUCGGGGCUAAUACCGGAUGGGUCAUCGGACCGCGUGGUCCGAGGAUGAAAGGCGCUUCGGCGUCGCCUGGGGAUGGCUUUGCGGUGCAUUAGCUAGUUGGUGGGGUAAUGGCCCACCAAGGCGACGAUGCAUAGCCGACCUGAGAGGGUGAUCGGCCACACUGGGACUGAGACACGGCCCAGACUCCUACGGGAGGCAGCAGUAGGGAAUCUUCCACAAUGGACGAAAGUCUGAUGGAGCAACGCCGCGUGAACGAUGAAGGCCUUCGGGUCGUAAAGUUCUGUUGUAAGGGAAGAACAAGUGCCGCAGGCAAUGGCGGCACCUUGACGGUACCUUGCGAGAAAGCCACGGCUAACUACGUGCCAGCAGCCGCCGUAA
rnacentral:rRNA from 1 species